rnacentral:rRNA from 1 species
UACGGAGGGUGCAAGCGUUGUUCGGAAUUACUGGGCGUAAAGCGCGUGUAGGCGGACCGGUAAGUCGGGAGUGAAAGCCCUGGGCUCAACCCAGGAAGUGCUUCCGAUACUGCCGGCCUUGAGUUCCGGAGAGGGUGGUGGAAUUCCCGGUGUAGAGGUGAAAUUCGUAGAUAUCGGGAGGAACACCAGUGGCGAAGGCGACCACCUGGACGAGAACUGACGCUGAGACGCGAAAGCGUGGGGAGCAAACAGGAUUAGAUACCCGUGUAGUCC